ensembl:lncRNA
GAUCCUUGCCUACCAGAGGCCUUCUAAGGUACUCCAGCACUUCCUUCUGCCGGCCAGGUUCCACCCCUGUGGCUUCCCUAUGACAUCUGCUUCCACCUGGCCCAAGCUGCCCAUGAGCAGGUGGCCAGAAGAAAAGGACAACAGCACGAGGUGGCUAUGGCACUGCUCACACACAUGCCUAGCCCGAGAGGGAAUGUUAUUGCUCUGGCUGAGGUACUCCUGGAUGGGAAGUGAGGAAUAGAAACAAUGAAGAAAUUUUGUUCCAAACACAAAAGGACAUGUGCCAUAGAAGAACUGAGACCUGAAAGUGUGAAGAGGGACCAAGACGUAGGAAGGAAGAGAUAAGGCUAAAGGUCUGGCACUGAUGUCUGAAAGACAGUAGUGGCUGAAUUACAAGUAUAUGAGCCCACCCAGGAGCAGGCACGCAGUAGAUCUACAGGAUUUGUGCUCUUUUGAAUUCUGGGCAAAAACUCUUAGGAAGCAGAUCAGGCACAACUUAUGCUGAUGUUUGCAUAGGUUAUUCUCUCUACUCGGAGACAUCAAUACACAAAAGAUGUGUCUGGCUGCUACGUAGCAGAGAAGAGGAAGCUUUGUGUGGCAACUGCAUCCCAAAACAAUCCCUUUUCAGGAGGCGUCUUCCUUUGAGCACGCUCAGCAGCAUCAGAGCUACCUUGUGCAAGCAGAAAGGUGUGAGGUACCAGCAAGUUCAUGGGACAAGGGGAUGAUGAGAGCUUAGACUAUUGCGAUGUAAAACUGAUGAAGAGCUACCCCAGGAAACCAAACUGGACCAAAAUAUAAUGGGGGCAACUGCUCACAAGUGCAGACAACAAGAAAAAGGAGAAAUCUGUCAUUGUGAUGGAAUCCCUACAAACUUAGCAUGGAUCUCCAUUCAGCCUGGGUAGCUGAUCACUCUUGCUCUUGUAUGGUGUUUUGCAGGACAAGCAUCAUUUUGAUGAAACCAUAAGACUCCUUUAAUGGAAACUGGGGGCUGCGUGAGAGUCACCACUACAGAAAAUUCUGCAUUUCUAAUGGCCUGAGUUAUUUAAUGGCUUAUCUGAAAUGCUCUGAGAGCUGCCUGGCACUGCCAGAACCAGCAUGAGAGCAGUCAUGGUCAGAUGAGGCUUUCCCACAGGUGUCCCUUGGAGGAUGAGAUCCUUUUCUGGCAAGCCAUAUGAGCUCAGUAAGAUCCUCGUUAUGGCCAAGCUCACAUGCCAUAUACUUCCUCUAUUAGUUUUGCCUUGGGGUAAUUUUUCUGAUGGCCAAAGACAAGAUCCCUGGCAGUCAAGCUCAUGGACCCAGUGUUCACCUUUGCCUUUGCUGGUUCUAAAGAACAAGGACAUGGCCAGCUAACCAAUAAAUAAUUUGGCAAAUAGCAACGGAAAGGAAGAAUCAGACUUUUCUUAAGAAAAGCUAUCAUUGCACUUUACUGAGGUAAUUGUUUCCUACUAGGUGGUACCUUGACAGCCGGAAGAACACAGGCUGUAAGUGUUCAGAGCUGCAUGCUUUCCAGGUAAUUUGAUUUCCCGUACAACAUACUCCUGGGGAAGGCAUUGACCAGCUGCUUCUUGAGGAACUCCACUUGCUCCUCCUGCUGAGGAGACCUCAGCUCUGCAUGGGUUGCAAAGGCUUUUCCCUGUGUGCCCUGUCUGGUUGCAGUUCCCCUGCUGGGUUGCCCAUCCCAAGGUGAAGCCAGCCCUGCAUGUGUUGCAAAACUUUCCUCUCCAAGUGACUUCAUCGUGCCAAGCAGUAAUGGCUCUGGUAUGAUGCUCAGAGCAUUUCCUGAGAAAAAAGGACAUUGUCAUAGCUGGGGUCUUAUACAAUGCGCUCCACAAAAGGAGGGAAGGAAGGUAAAUAUAGAAAAUUGAGGAGAUAUUCUGCAUUGAGAGACACAACAAAAGGAAAACUGCCAGGAAAUGACUCCACAAUGGGGCCAAAUUCAGACUCCUUGGUACUAAACACUCACAUAGACAACCCCCAUCCUCCAGCAGCUGAACAAGGAGCGCCCAGCACCCCUGGAAACUGGGAAAGCUCUAGAUAGAAAUCAGUGAGGCUCUUCCCACUGGGUUUGAGAGCUAAGCUCUUACUGAAUAUCUAAAACAAGCCUUUAGGUUGGUUGCUGUAAGCUUUCAGUUCUAGCAGUGUGAGCCUAGUUAGGUCUACAUAAAGCAUCUUUCUCUGCAGAUAUUAACAGACCUAUUCAUAUUCACUGCACUCAGAGCUAGAGAAGAUGUUGAUACAACCCAAGCCCAUUUAUUCCCUUGCUGUCUGGUCUAGGCCAGUCAUCCUUGCACUCUCCAAAGUCAAGGGAGAGAGAAAGAAGUAUUUCCAAAGGAUAAUUCAUCCCAUCCCAAGAUAAAUGGUGUUAGCAGGCGGAGGAGAGGUUAAACUGCUCUUUGAAGAUGCCUCCACGGGUUAGCAGGAAGCAUGACUUAGACUAAACACCUACCCACUAAAUAAGGAAGGGAUGAAUCCCACCAUUAUGGUCUAAACUGAUAAUACAAUACAGAUGUGUAGAGCAGUAAGUGACCAGAUGGUGAAUUUAUCACACUACAGUGUAGUUUCUUGUAAUAUAAAUACAGGCUGAUUAAAUAGUUGAUUUGCUCAACAGAGCAUCUCAGCUUCAUUACGAGAGCUAGUCUGGAGUCAUUACAAGUCAACACAGGGCCCUGUGUAUGUUUUUAGAAAAUAUGAUGGUCUGGAAAUAAAAGAUGUGCAAGCAGCAAUUUUUGGUCAAUUAAUCUAAGGUUCUCUGUACUGAAAAAGAAUCCUGGCAUCCAUUUUUCCAUGCUAUGUGCAGAAAUGAUAUUUAAUGCCAAAUUACAUUUAAAUGAACAAAACCGCUGCAAGACUACAAUACAUUAGGACUACUAAACUUAGCCUCUCCAUGUAUUCCCUUGUGCCUCAGAAUCAAUGGUAUUAUUUUGAACAAGAAAAACAGAUUUUUCUUCAAGGCUCUCUGGUUUACUGAGCUACCCAAAUGCUUUGACAAAACUGUAUCUGAUACUGUGGGGUACUGAAAAUAAAGAAGAAAGUUAAAAUAAAAAAAAAAUAGGGCUUUCAUAAAUCAUCCUGUCUGCUGGAAGCAGUUCCCUACAGUCUGAAUGUGAGCAGCCCACAUCCAGCAUCUCCCAGGGCAGGACAUGCAUGGGGAUCUGACAUGCAGCUGCAGUCAGAGCAGAUCCUGCCAUCUCCACUACAACAGCACACAACCAUCCUUCAGGCCAGGCUGCCUAUAGCUUGGAGGAGGCACAGUGACCGCAAGACCUGCUAGCCUCUCUGUGAUGCAAGCAGCAAGCUCACAUCCAUGUUGCCACCUUCCCUACACAGCUAUGGGAUGGUGCAUGAAGCCAAAGUCCUGGUGUGGGUGAUUCCAGAAGACCUCAGCAUGGCCGCACAGAGCAGCAAGGAGAUCUUUUGGAUGGGGGGCAGGUUGCCUUCAAAGCACCAAAGAGAAUGUCCUUCAAAAGAAGGAACGUGCUCAGAUGUUCUGCCAGCACAGUGUCAAGCCACUUACGGGAAUGUUUUCAGCAAAUAUCAGCCCAGUUCUUCCCCGGCCUUUGCUGAGGACCUCUUAGCAAGCACAGUUGGGUCCCCCACAAAGCACUUUCCCCAGGUAUAUUUUGGGUUUGGAAAAAUCCUCUAAGAGGUGUUAUGUUCAUAGAAC